rnacentral:rRNA from 1 species
GUGAGUAACACGUGAGUAACCUGCCCUUGACUCUGGGAUAAGCCUGGGAAACUGGGUCUAAUACCGGAUACGACCAUCUGGCGCAUGUCAUGGUGGUGGAAAGCUUUUGUGGUUUUGGAUGGACUCGCGGCCUAUCAGCUUGUUGGUGGGGUAAUGGCCUACCAAGGCGACGACGGGUAGCCGGCCUGAGAGGGUGACCGGCCACACUGGGCUUGAGACACGGCCCAGACUCCUACGGGAGGCAGCAGUGGGGAAUAUUGCACAAUGGGCGCAAGCCUGAUGCAGCGACGCCGCGUGAGGGAUGACGGCCUUCGGGUUGUAAACCUCUUUCAGUAGGGAAGAAGCGAAAGUGACGGUACCUGCAGAAGAAGCGCCGGCUAACUACGUGCCAGCAGCCGCGGUAAUACGUAGGGCGCAAGCGUUAUCCGGAAUUAUUGGGCGUAAAGAGCUSGUAGGCGGUUUGUCGCGUCUGCUGUGAAAGACCGGGGCUCAACUCCGGUUCUGCAGUGGGUACGGGCARACUAGAGUGCAGUAGGGGAGACUGGAAUUCCUGGUGUAGCGGUGAAAUGCGCAGAUAUCAGGAGGAACACCGAUCGCGAAGSCAGGUCUUUGGGCU